rnacentral:tRNA from 1 species
CUCCCCGUAGUUCAGCGGUAGAACGGUCGGCUCUUAACCGACUCGCCACUGGUUCAAUUCCAGUCGGGGGGA